GCGGGGUGUGUUUACAGGCAGCGUGCGUGGUAUGCACAGCUUGGGCUUUGGAAUCAGAUAAGCCCAGUCUUACGUUCAGUUCUGCCACCCUCCAGCUGUGCAUCCUGGGCAUGUCCCUUAACCUCUCUGAGCACAUCUCCUCAUCUGCAAAAGUGGACCACAAAUGAGGUUACAGGGUCACCUGAGGAUUUGAUGACAUCAUGGACAUCAAGUGCUCAGCACAAUGCCUUCCACAUGCCAAUUUCAAGCUACCAAUAUGAUGACAUUGAACUUGGAGAGGGGAAGUGAUGCACACCAUUGUGUCUGGUGGGAACCACUUGAGUGCGUGCCCUCAUCGGCUGAGCCACCCUAGGUCCUCAGCUGUUCCUGAUUCAAAGAGAACCAGAGAAGAAGCUGGGCAGGACAGCCACCUUCAUCCAAACGUGUGUCCCUCUGGAGGCACAGCAACUGUCUUCCCAAAAGAGAGGAGGCUUUGACUGGGUUGGGUGUCCUUUUCCAUGUGUGUGGCACACUAUGGGGCAGGGUUUGCCUCAGGCCACUUCCAGGCCUGCCCCACUGCACUUGGUGGCCAAGACCCACUGCCCCCUGGACUGCAUGGCUGUGACUAUCCUGGGACCUUUAUUGAAAAACCCUGUUGGAACCCCUUUUGUCAGAGGACCUUCCUGCACACAUUCUUCAGCCUGCCUGUCAGGCCCUAUUGAUUUCAAUAGGGAUGGCACCAGAUUCAAGAGGCUGAAGAAGAGACCCAGGGACAGCACCGAGACCUAGGGCUUCAUUAGACGGAAGCUUACAGGGAUGGACCAGUGGUGGCUGGGUGGACAGGAGAACCUCAACUGCUUGCAAAAAGCAUGUGGUUUAUGUAGCACUUUUCCUUGGCGCCUCCCCCUAACAACCUCCCUCCACCUGGCAACGUUCACAUAACCCAAAACACAGGGUCUCAAUCCCCUGUACGGCCUGCAUUCCAUAGGAUGGGGCCAGGAGCUCAGAUGUUACUCAGAUAAGGAAUGAAACUCUGGGUUGGCCACUCCCACGUUCCUUAGCUCAGAACUCUGAACAUAUAUUCUUCUCAGACCAUGGGGUCAUUCUCAGGGUAUGCUUCAGUUAUGCUGUUUCUCUCAGGGUCAUCUACCACCCACUGCUCCACAACCUUCCAAAACCCCAGGGGUAGCUGUUAUCAUCCUUCUUUUACAGGUGAGGAAACUGAGGCUUAGAAAGAGAUCACUCUUCCAAGGCCACACAGCUAGUCCCAGGUCUCAUGUUAGUUUCACUGAACUAGUGGCACGGAUGACAUAACAGCUGACACUUGGGCAAUUCCCUGGCUGGUGCUGUGCCAAGCAUCUUCUUCCUGAAACCACCACUUAUGGGUUGUGCUGCAAGAGUAAGUUCUCCAACAUCUCUAAGCUACAGUUUCUCCUGGAAAGACUGGAUAAGACGCAGUGCACCAGGGCUUAGCACAAGGCCGGAUACACAUUCUACAGAACACCAUGGAACAAACGUUAUAGAAGAGAUCGACUGCGCUGGUGACUCAUGCCUGUAAUCCCAGCACUUUGGGAGGCCGAG
rnacentral:lncRNA from 1 species